GAGAAGAACGUAGUGAAAUGCGAUAAGUAAUGUGAAUUGCAGAAUUCAGUGAAUCAUCGAAUCUUUGAACGCACAUUGCGCCCGCCAGUAUUCUGGCGGGCAUGCCUGUUCGAGCGUCAUUUCAACCCUCAAGCCCCCGGGCUUGGUGUUGGGGAUCGGCGUGCCCUCGCGGCGCGCCGUCCCCUAAAUCUAGUGGCGGUCUCGCUGUAGCUUCCUCUGCGUAGUAGCAACACUCGCACUGGAUCGCAGCGCGGCCACGCCGUUAAACCCCCCACUUCUGAAAGUUUGACCUCGGAUCAGGUAGGAAUACCCGCUGAACUUAAGCAUAUCAAUAAGCGGAGGA
rnacentral:misc_RNA from 1 species